AUGCCCUACAUACCAGCAGACAUCACAAACCUAAAGGCAAAGUAUCAUAGAGAGAGCAGGUUGGCUGACAUAGAAGACACGAUAGCCUACUUCGAAGAGAAAGCAAAAGAAGAUGUUGAUUUCUUCUACAGGAUAAGAUUGGAUGAUGAGGACCGUGUCAGAAACAUGUAUUGGGUGGAUGGUGCUGCAAGAAGAGCCUACAAACAUUUCCGUAAUUACUUUUACUUCGACGCGACAUAUCUCACUAAUAUGUACAAGAUGCCCUGCGCUCUAUUCAUAGGAAUAAAUAGCCACAAUCAGUCAUUGCAGUUCGGUUGCGGACUCAUUCGGAACAAAGAUACGGAUGGUUACACUUGGCUGUUCAAAAUCUUCUUGAAGUGCAUGGGUGGACUUGCUCCGAUGAACAUAAUAAUAGACCAGGAUUUUAGCAUGCUUGCAGGCAUAGAGCCGUUGGCAGUGCACAUGCACUGCAGGUGACAUACUAUUAAGAAGGCUGAGGAGAUGCUAGGACCAUUCUUUGCUGACCGUCCAGAGCUACACAAGGCAUUCGAGUUGUGCGUGGACCACAGCUUGACGGUGGAGGAGUUUGAACGGAGCUGGACGACUAUGAUUGAAACAUACCAAGUCCAAGACAACGAGACACUUACUAGCCUGUGGGAGAAGCGAAUGUAUUGGGUGCCGGCCUACUUCAUGUAG
rnacentral:rRNA from 1 species